AACAUGCCUAAUGCUUUCGUUACGGUAUAAUCAGUCAUUCAACCGACUUUUUCCUUAUUUGGUAGCAUGUGCUCUUAUUCGAAUUUUGAGUCCCUAAUUUAUUUGAAUUAGGACCUAUGAUUGAUUUAGUUUGGUAUUUUUUCUAUAACUAUACACUCACUACCCUAUUUGCUACUAUUUUCAAAACUAUAAGUACUACUCUUCUCUUCUCACUUGACACCUCCCUACCCUAUUCUCUACUAUUUUCAUAACUAUAAGUAUUACUCUUCCCUUCUCACUUGACACAGACACGAAUACAAUUCCUCAAAACUUUUCCUUCAGAAAUAUUCGAUGCCUUCUCUCUAUACUGUUCCAUGCAAACUCUCUCAUUCUCUUAUUGAAAC
rnacentral:lncRNA from 1 species